UCGAAAUCGAACGGAAGAACGACCCGCGAACCGUCUUUGCGUAACGAACCGAGCUCGCGAGCAGCAAACGCUCGCGCGUCUCGCGUCGCGUCGGCGCGGUCCUCGAAAGGGCCACGCCGCACCGACAAACUAACAAUGUCAGCACGGAUCGUGCCAAGGAGCUGUACAGGCGAGAGUCGCCGUCCCACGCCCCCGGUCCCCCUCGACUGGGGGCGGGUGACAUGCGCGAUCUCUGCUCUUAGUCUUAAUGACUCUCGGCAACGGAUAUCUCGGCUCUUGCAUCGAUGAAGAACGUAGCGAAAUGCGAUACUUGGUGUGAAUUGCAGAAUCCCGCGAACCAUCAAUUCUUUGAACGCAAGUUGCGCCCGAAGCCAUCCGGCCGAGGGCACGCCUGCCUGGGUGUCGUGAAUCCCCUUGCCCCMGGGCACCCGCACGAGCAUCGUCGCGGAUAUGCCCGGGCGCAGAAUAUGGUCUCCCGUCGGAUCGGCGUGCGCUGCACGUCGUGGGGCGGUUGGCCGAAAAUCGAGCAUUGCGACGUCGGGCUCCACGGCGUUCGGUGGAUCGAACGCGAUUGGCUGCGCCGUGGUCCCGUCAUGCCGCGGGCUCCGGACUACUACGACGAUUCCCGUG
rnacentral:rRNA from 1 species